rnacentral:rRNA from 1 species
UACGAAGGGGGCGAGCGUUGUUCGGAUUCACUGGGCAUAAAGGGCGCGUAGGCGGUGGCGUAAGCGACGUGUGAAAUCCCGGGGCUCAACUCCGGGCCUGCCCGCGGUACUGCGUCGCUCGAGUGCGGGAGGGGGGUGUGGAACUCUAGGUGGAACGGUGAAAUGCGUAGAUAUCUAGAGGAACACCGGUGGCGAAAGCGACACCCUGGCCCGCAACUGACGCUGAGGCGCGAAAGCGUGGGUAGCAAACAGG